ACGCACCUUUAUCAUCAAAUCUGCCAAUAUGCCCCCUCAGCUCAGCGAAUUUACCACCAAUGAGAUCAUACACCUUCUAAACGAUGGUUAUAUGCCUGCUCAGAUUGCGCGGACCAUUGAGUGCUAUCUGGCCACUGUAUAUUGAAUCCAAUGAAAUAUUCGCUGCUUUGGAACUGCUAGAAGUCUUUGUUCAACAUGGGGUGUAAAGCCAAAGAUCACACCGGAUAUCUUGUCAGAUUUGGAGGAUUUUUUUGAGGCAUAUCCAACUGCAUAUUGUGAUGAGGCUGUCUGCUUUGUGAAGGAUGAAUUUGAUGUUGAUAUCCACCCUUGAUUGAUAUCUAGAUUGUUGAAGAAACUGAAUUUGACAUGGAAAAAGGUUGAACCUGUGGCCACUCAACACAACAAAGAACUUUGAGCUGAAUGGUGUAUUCAAGUUACUCAGUAUCAAUCUGAUCAACUUAUAUUUUUAGAUGAGAGUGCUGUGAAUGAAUGUACUGCAGAUUGAUGAUAU
rnacentral:sRNA from 2 species